rnacentral:rRNA from 1 species
ACAUGUGGGGCAAGCGUUGUUCGGAAUUACUGGGCAUAAAGGGUGCGUAGGUGGUCUGCUAAGUCAGUGGUGAAAUCCCGCGGCCCAACCGUGGAACUGCCAUCGAUACUGGCGGACUUGAGUGCGUGAGGGGUUACCGGAACGAGCAGUGUAGCGGUGAAAUGCGUAGAUAUUGCUCGGAAGGCCAGAGGCGAAGGCGGGUAACUGGCACGCAACUGACACUGAGGCACGAAAGCGUGGGGAGCAAACAGGAUUAGAUACCCUGGUAGUCCACGCCGUAAACUAUGGGCACUAGAUGGAUGUCGAGCUAUCGAUGUCUGUCGGAGACAAUUUGGUAAGUGCCCCGCCUGGGGAGUAUGGUCGCAAGGCUG